UGAGGUCCUGGUGAACGUUUGGGCGUAUCACAGUGCCAGGAGACUCAUCUACGUGGAUCCUGAGACGGGUAUAAUGAUGGAGCAGAACGCUCUCGAGAGCCGACGCGGGCAGAUGAAAGUCAAGUGGUUCAGCUUUAGCGUGCUCAAGGGAAUGGACGAAGACAUGGCCGAGAAAGUUGACGACGAGCAUCCUACGUACCGGUGGCUCUGGCCACACACGGGAGAAGUGUUCUGGCAGGGAAUCUUGGAGAGGGAGAGGCAGGAGAGAUACAACAUGAAGUUGGAAAGGAAGCGCAGGAACAAGGAGAGGCUGGCUAGAAUGCGCAGCCGCUACAAGCAGAAGUCUCUGGGCCGCUAUGUGAAGCCACCACCGGAAGAGACGGAGCAAGAUCAAGCUGUGAAUACUGCUGCUCGGUGAACAGAUUCUUGGGUGAUUGUUUUGAGAGCCAGGAGAGCUCUUUCGACGCGAAUUGUAGUGUACGACUAUCAAGAGGUAAACUUUUUAGUGUACAUAUUCAGUGUCAUUGCUACUAAUGAGAUUUUCCAGCGUGAUGAUUCUUGGAAGCUGCAAAUGACCAAAGUUUUGUCUAGCGCUGAAGAAUCCGAUCAAAACACGCUUGAGUGAAGAACAGGCAAGAAUAUAGCUCCAGCAAAACCAGGACAGGGGGAAUUGAUCUAUAAUGGGUGUUGCUCGCAACUCUGGAGCAGUUCACCAGGAACUUGGGAAAGUUUUUGUUCCUGUGCGCGACUGUGGUUCUCCUGGGGGGAUUCGUGAACGAUCUGAGAAACUAUGACUUCUACUACGUCACUCUCCUGCUCGUUAGCUAUGGCAUCAGGAGCUUCCGGUUUCUCAACUUAGCCGAAGGCUUAAGGAAACCAAAGGUGAAUUCCCGCGUGGUUCUACUCGUCAUCGCCCUCCUUCGCCUCCUCGUCCUCUUUCCCUUCGGCGUCUAUAUAGAAACCUUGCUGCUGCCUCUCUGGCUGCUGCUUCUCUUGCUGCUGCCUCUCUGGCUGCUGNNNNNNNNNNNNNNNNNNNNNNNNNNNNNNNNNNNNNNNNNNNNNNNNNNNNNNNNNNNNNNNNNNNNNNNNNNNNNNNNNNNNNNNNNNNNNNNNNNNNUCUCUUGCUGCUGCUUCUCUUGCUGCUGUACAAUGCUCGCUCCGGGCGCUCAUUCGUCAUCGUCUACAACAUGGCCUACAAUACUGAGAUCCUUCUGGCUCUCGUCAGCCUCAGAGUCACGAUCCGCUGGCUACUACUACUGCACCCCAAGUAUCCAAAGUCCAACGAGUUCGUCGCAAUGAUCAGCUUCUCCUCGAUCGUCAUCGCCGAGUCGAGCUUGUUCCUGUGCAUCCGCGGCUGCUGGGAGAUCAUAUCAGUGAGGUACAAGAAGGCGAAGAAGAACAGGGACCGACCGAGAUUUCUCCUGGAAACUAAGUCCAAGUUCUUCGUUGCCGUGUACGAGACGACGUUGAGAGAUGGAGCCAUCAAGGGGCUAAGGAUGAACUUGGUCGACUACGUCGCGAACGAGUUCUUGGAAUCGAGAGGCAACCGGGAGCUGAGGAAAAGCUUGUUGAUGCUGGAUGCAGUGUGCCACUGGGAAGAAGAAGAUCAGAGAAAGCGAAGUGGGAAGCUCCUCUUGGCAUCUAAGCGUCAAGUUGUGGAGCGGCUGUUCGAGUGCAUGGGCGACAAGUACUAUCUCAUCUACCGGCGAGCGGCGAUUUCUCUAGUGGCCGAGAUCUGCGAAGAUGAAAACGCCUUCUUCGCUGUGGCACACGUCGUCCAGGCCAGUGAUGAAGGCGUCUCGCUUCUGGUGAAAGCGCUGGAGCCGGAUACCAACAAGUCGGUGCUGGAGCUGCUAGGAAAGCUUGCGGCAUUUGGAGGGAUUGCCAAUGCCGAGCCGGGUGUGAUCGCGAACUUUGAUUUUGCGCAAGGGGAUAUGGACAAGAAGUGGAAGGAUUCUCUCAGGAAUGGCGAAUGGAUCAUCUCCAUCGAUGCAGGAGAUGAUCCAGCCCGGGUUGAUGACGAGCCAGAGAUCCAGAGCUCCAAGCAGAAGAUCGCAGCGAAUUUGAGGACGCUACUCAGGAAGAAUCACGACUUGACAAGGUACCUCGCGAAUGCUCUCUUUUGUUCCUCCCAGGAGCUCCAGGAGCUAGCUCUAGACGCUCUCGCGGCAUUGCUAGCCUAUGAUCCCAGCCAUGGUGAUCUUCUCCCUGGCUACAAGAGCGUCAUCUAUGGAUUGUUCCAACUCCUCCGUACCUGCCAAGCUGAUCCACUAGGAAGCAAAGUGGCAGUAGUGCUGGAUCUUCUCUGCCGCAAGAAUCGCCAGUACCUUGAAACGCUACUCGAUGGAAGCGGCAGUAGCAGUGACGACGUUAUAGCAGUUCUCAUGAGCGCGCUCUCCUUUGGUUUGGAUAAUCACGAUGGCGAGAGGAGCAAGCAUGCAAUGUCGAUUCUGUGCAGCCUCCACGACCAGAAGCUGUUGAGCGAGGAGCAGGAGAAAGCGCUGGACAUCGCAAAGAUCGUGGACAUGGUGACCACUAUGACGAACUCAACACCAAGUGACCAUGGCUUGACUGGGGAGAGCUCGACCACCCAACCCAUGGAAGGGAUUGAUGUGGCAUUAGAAGUAGCCGAGCUUUGGGGUUUAGCUGCGCGGCCAUCACAAUCCUCAUCAGCUGUUCCGACGGCAUCACGGAUUCACAAUCAACCAAGGUAGGAUUUGGCAGAUGAUCUCUUGGAGAAGAGCACGCCAGUGCUGCAUUGGCAAGAUCCCCCAAAUUCCCCGCAGAGGGAAACUAAACAGAUCAGGAUUCCAGAGAUGCCGCAGCACAGCAUUCAAUUCUAAAUCUUGCUAAAUCAAAACUAAUAUAUUCCCAAUUGUUUGAAGCUUUGGCACGACUACAAGUCCAGUCAAACACACAAGUCUAAGAGAAACGUCAAUGCAGCUUUAGAAAAUUCUCUCAUUCGGAUUCUCUUUUCUGAUUGCCACGCCACUGACUAUUCCUGCUCGAACUGGAGCUUUUCUGUUGACGUACUAAAGAUCCCGCUCUACGCGGGAAUGGCGCAAGCAAGGAGGACGGAUCCCGGAACUCGGAGUUUGAAUAGUCGCAGGACGAUCAUCUUCCUCUGUCUGCCAGGAAGAAAGGUGAUCAAUGUACCUGAAAGAUUUUCUAGCAAAUCGUUUUGUGUUCGCUUGAAAUGUUUUCCAUUGAGAGUCAGGCCCCAGAAAAGUUGAAGAAUGUACUGCUGUGAAAGUUAUGGAUGGAUUCAGCAGGUACGCAUGGGUCUGUUUUCUUGGCUCAACGGCCACUAGCCGUUCCAGAGCGUCUUUGGCUGAUCAUUACAUUGCCAGCAAUGAGCUUUUUCUAAUCUAUCAUUCUCUCUGGCUGUUACUUAACGAAGAUGUUGCAGGCUCGCGCUUUCGGCAGCGAUGCUUGGUAAGCUUUCAUCUUUCGAGGCGUCGAGUAUUGUAUUCCAGGCAUGUCCUCAAAGACGUUGUCGAGAUGCCCGACGNNNNNNNNNNNNNNNNNNNNNNNNNNNNNNNNNNNNNNNNNNNNNNNNNNNNNNNNNNNNNNNNNNNNNNNNNNNNNNNNNNNNNNNNNNNNNNNNNNNNGGCCAGCAUGAGCUUUUUCUAAUCUAUCAUUCUCGCUGGCUGCUACUUAACGAAGAUGUUGCAGGCUCGCGCUUGUGGCAGCGAUGCUCGGUAAGCUUUCAUCUUUUGAGGCGCCAAGUAUUGUAUUCCAGGCAUGUCCUCAAAGACGUGGUCGAGAUGCCCGUUCUGGCAUACGUGGAGAGCAUCAUGACACCAUAAAACCCUAUGCAAUUUAUAAAGCUGAUAAACCCUUUUAUAUUGAUCUCUUUUAAGCUCCUUGAGAAUAUUCCUAUUUAAUUGGGUUCAGCCCCACACCUUUAUUCUAUAUACUGAGAAGAGUGUUGUUCAAUUCACAAAACUUACCUGCAGCUUUAAGUGAUUCAAUAUUCCCGCUUCGAUGGUGUGCAAAACGCUCUACUUACCACCUGACACGAGCCAUCAGGCCCGCUGCCGACAUUAUCCGGCAGGAGAAGGAGCGCUCUGAGAAAGAUGCAGCACCACUCUAAGCUACCAGCCCUAGGCAGCAGGUUGCCGGCGACAUCAAGCGCUCGGCUGCAGAGUCAGUCCUGCCUCAGACUGGGUGUUGCUGAGCUAGAGAGUGGACGAUGUGCCUGGACGUGGUUGAAUUGGUGAUAAGCUUGACUUGACUGCCACCAGACCCGUUGUCCCUGCCUUGAGCUCCUUGAGCUUGAGAGCUUUGUACUUCAUGCAAGUGCGGCAACCAUGCGUCGAAUGAUGCUCUCGCCUUUCCUGGUUGCGGACACCACUCGCGUAAAUUCCUGCGACCUGCCAGCUUGUUCACCGGGCCCCCGGUGGAAGUGGCAGCCGUGCACGGCCACACAACCCUUGUCUCGCCAGCUUCGGAAUGCGGCAAGUAGUCGAUCUAGCUUUCACGAGAGAUCAGUUAGCAAUUGCGUGAGAACAAAACGAACUAUCCCACUCUACCUGAACGAUUUGCAUCUCCUUGGUGCUAGAUGUUUUUCUCGGAGAUUAAGUAGCUGGGAUCGGCAGUUUCAACUCCCUGUCAAUUCAAACUUUGCAGUUAACAAGACAAGAGAAAGCGUUCAAAGGAGUCUUAUCCAUGACGACGCGUGCCAACCGCGGUGAGGCCCAGUGGCACCGUCCAUGAUGCUGGCUUCCAUCUAGUUGUCAACACCGAUCAUCUCGUUGUCCUCCAUUGCACGCACCUGUAGAAAGGUGGCGUGGCGAUCGAUUUUCACGUAAAAAAAGCCUCGGCCAAGGGAAGGAUCGCAAUGAACUUCAACACAACCGGCAUGUUUUGAGCCAGUGCGGAUCACACAGGGCACCUCGAGGUCGGGGUGAAAGAAACUACAUCCUAGGAGACUAUGGCAGUGGCACGAAUAAAAGAUGACCACUCAGGAAGAAGAAGAGGAAGAUCUCACGGUCUUCUCAAGCAAUGCCAAGAGGUAGACUUCGUGGUUCUUGAGCCGUUGAACUUGGUGUAUCCCGGCCCUCCGGCAUACAGGGUGUGGAGCUGGUCACAUAUGGGAUGCGUUUUUGCAGAGGGAAGUUGAGAAUGCGUGAUCUCCUCAACCGGAUGGCUUGCCAGCACACUUAGUUUUGAUUCAUGGGAAGAACUCCACACGUAAAAUGGAGAGAUGAUCCACGAUAAAAGAAAGAGGCCAGUCCAAGCAUGUAAGUGUCACCAUAAGGCUACUGCCUUGCCUCCUCAAUGCAAGCUGAUGCAGCGAACAGCCAAAAUCGUUCGCAUAAAUAGCUGCAAGCACUCAAAUAAAAAGAUUAAAGCAGAAGGCAAAUUAGCUGCUAGCUCUUGUUUGCUUCCAGAAAAUCCUGGAGCCUUGAAAAGGACCGGAAGGCCUCGUGAUCAUGAAGAAUAGAUAAUGAUUACACUCAAUGCGUUAAAAGGAAAUGGCAAUUUGAGAAUAAAAGAGCAUAUUUGGGCGGGAAAGCAGCCAAGUGCGAUGGCGGAGAAGGAGAAGGCGAUGAACAAAAAGGCUACACAUCACGUUCAUGAAGGAGAAGCAGUUGGAUCAUAACCUUAAGAUCUACAGGGAGGUACAAAAAUCUGUUUCUUUGCUUUGAAUGAAUUCUUUUGUUGCACAGAAGAAUUCCCUUGCUCCUCCACCUCCUCCUCCUCCUCAGGAGCAUGACUAUCCAAAGCCAGAGGCGGAGACGAAGCCCGAGGCAGAGGAAGAGGCAGAGGCAGAAUAGAAGCCCAUUGCCACGAUUCAUAUCUUGCUCACAAGUAUAUUAUAUUUUAAGUAGCCACUAUUCAAUGUGAAUUGAACCCAUACUAUUUGCUCCAAUACCAUAUAUACCACACUUAUUUUAUCCUCAUUUACCCUUUAAAGUUCUAAGGAUCCAUAGUGACAAUAUAUUUAAAUAUCAUCCCAUAAUCACAUGUGUUAUAUAAUUUAAAACCUUUUCAAUACUACUUGAAGUUGAACUUUUUGAGAAGUCACCUAGCCUAGUACUAUUUAGUCAAAUAUAUAUGUGAAGAUCAAUUUUUCAACUAGUUUAGGCAAAGACUGAUAAAGGAUCUAGCAAUACCAACCUUUUGUUGUAGUGCACCCUAUCUCUUCCCCCUUAAACCAAUUGGAUAGGAAGGAUUGUUAAAACUAAGUUACUAUAAAGACUAGCAUCCAAGAAAGUUCAAGUUUGCAUAUGCAUAUUAUGGGGUGAUGGAUCCCAACAAAGUGAACCUAGUGAAGGAAUUGAAGCGUAUUUAAGUAUUGUGAUAUAUUACAUUGACAUCUUCUUGUCCCCAACUCGAAGGCUAUAUCAAAGCUGUUGCAGAAACAUCUUUCUUCUUCAAGUUUACUUUGUUUAUACUUAGAGACUAAUUUCAAUUCUUUUUUGCGUAUAGGCUGUGACAACUUUGGAUAUUGCAAGACAAGGCUUGCAAUCUGAAGGACAACUUCAUUUCAAAUGAGAUUUUUCCGGAUAUUUAGAUUAGUUGCCACUACAACGUUCUCCUUAUCAAGUUAUUCAGAGAUAAGUAUUGAAAACACCCCAUUCCUAUAGAUUGAGACAAGAUUAGACCAUUGUGAGUCACUUUUUAGCAAAAUUGGUGGUAUGGUGAGAAAUGAGUGAAUUUAUGACUCAUUUGAUUUGCUGGAUAGUGCUGGUUCCAUAAACCAAAUUGCUGAGAUGAAGGCUAUAUCAAUUUUAAAGUUUCCAGCUUCACAUAAGAAACAAGAAUCUAUAUGGGAAUAUUUAACAAAGACUUGAGAAGCAACAUGGAGGAACAGUUGCAUUAAAGCUGACUGACUAUACAGGUAUGUCUUUGUUAAAUAUUCUUUAAUCUUACUCUCUUUCUCAAGUAUAGAAACAGAUUUGAAAAAUAUACAAGCUCUUCAAGCUGGCUUGCUUGAGGCGAAAGGUUUACUCUAAGUGGAGCAAACUUUGGAAAUAUAAGGAUUUUUUUCACAAAAAGGCAGCAAAAGCGUUAGAAGCUAUGAAUUGAACAAGUGGUGAGGGAGAUGUUUCAAAAGAGGUGGAAAGCAGUAUCACUUAUGAUGAUGAAGAGCUAGCAGCAUUGUUGGAACUACAACAUACUUUUGAUAGUAUGAUUGAUGAAGAAGAAACACUACCUCAACCACAAAUGCCACAGCAGGAAAGCUUCAAGCUGUUUGUGGAUUGAUGGUGGAUACAAUCUUAAAUUUUUCUUUCCUUGGGUUGCUCUGUUGCCAAAAGCUGAAAACUCUCUAGCCGAGGUUGUGAGGGUCGGUAUUCAUGGCGAUGCCGUUUAUGGCAAGUUGGAAGAUUUCUGGACUUCUUGCAAUGCAAGCAAUGCUGGAAACUGCAGGUAUGUGUCAAGACAAAGUUUGUCAAGGCCAACAGUGUCCAUUCCAGGCGGAUUUUCAUGGAGACAUUCAAGACAAUGUAUGGCUUAAACAAAGACCAACUGGAGCUUCCAACGAUGCCAUUUGGCGUCUGGUCUGGUAAGCAUUGCUGGGCUAUGUCUACCUCAUCUUUCGUGGAGUUCGUCAUGUUUUCCUGGUCUGUUGCAGUUUGUUGCACAUACUCCAACUUAACUGGGUAUCUUGUCCUAGGAUGUUCGUGGACGCUCUCGAUUCUCAGCUCUACGUUGACAAUCACGAUCAUGGAAACUGUCCUCUUGCAACCACACAUGGUACAACCUCGAAUUCUUGUGGCUGUGAGUUCUAAAUACUAAAUCUCUUAGGCUCAACACUGCUAUUGCUGUCUACUUGAGGUCCUGGUGAACGUUUGGGCGUAUCACAGUGCCAGGAGACUCAUCUACGUGGAUCCUGAGACGGGUAUAAUGAUGGAGCAGAAUGCUCUCGAGAGCCGACGCAGGCAGAUGAAAGUGAAGUGGUUCAGCUUUAGCGUGCUCAAGGGAAUGGAUGGCCGAGAAAGUUGACGACGAGCAUCCUACGUACCGGUGGCUCUGGCCACACACGGGAGAAGUGUUCUGGCAGGGAAUUCUGGAGAGGGAGAGGCAGGAGAGAUACAACAUGAAGUUGGAAAGGAAGCGCAGGAACAAGGAGAGGCUGGCUAGAAUGCGUAGCCGUUACAAGCAGAAGUCUCUGGGCCGCUAUGUGAAGUCACCACCGGAAGAGACGGAGUAAGAUCAAGCUGUGAAUACUGCUGCUCGGUGAACAGAUUCUUGGGUGAUUGUUUUCAGAGCCAGGAGAGUUCUUUCGACGCGAAUUGUAGUGUACGACUAUCAAGAGGUAAACUUUUUAGUGUACAUAUUCAGUGUCAUUGCUACUAAUGAGAUUUUCCAGCGUGAUGAUUCUUGGAAGCUGCAAAUGACCUAGCGCUGAAGGAUCCGAUCAAAACACGUUUGAGUGAAGAACAGGCAGGAAGCUAGCUCCAGCAAAACAGGAAAAUUGAUCUAUUAUGGGUGCUGUGUUGCUCGCAACUCUGGAGCAGUUCACCACGAACUUGGGAAAGUUUAUGUUCCUGUGGGCGACUGUGGUUCUCCUGGGGGGAUUCGUGAACGAUCUGAAAACCUUGGACUUCUACUACGUCAUUCUCCUGCUCGUUAGCUAUGGCAUCAGGGGCUUCCGAUUUCUCAACUUGUCCCAAGGCUUAAAGAAACGAAAGGUGAAUUCCCGCCUGAUCCUACUCGUCAUCGCCCUCUUUCCCCUCAUCGCCCUCUUUGGCCCCUUGGGCGGCCCAGUAUUGUUCUUGCAAUGCCGCUGCUUCUCUUGCUGCUGCCUCUCAGAUUUUUGUACAAUGCUCGCUCCGGGCGCUCAUUCGUCAUCGUCUACAACAUGGCCUACAAUACUGAGAUCGUUCUGGCUCUCGUCAGCCUCAGAGCCACGAUCGUCUGGCUACCACAGCACCACAAUUAUCCAAAGUUCAACGAGCUCGUCGCAAUGAUCAGCUUCUCCUCGAUCGUCAUCGCCGAGUCGAGCUUGUUCCUGUGCAUCCACGGCUGCUGGGAGAUCAUAUCAGUGAGGUACAAGAAGGCGAAGAAGAACAGGGACCGACCGAGAUUUCUCCUGGAAACUAAGUCCAAGUUCUUCGUUGCCGUGUACGAGACGACGUUGAGAGAUGGAGCCAUCAAGGGGCUAAGGAUGAACUUGGUCGACUACGUCGCGAACGAGUUCUUGGAAUCGAGAGGCAACCGGGAGCUGAGGAAGAGCUUGCUGAUGCUGGAUGCGGUGUGCCACUGGGAAGAAGAAGAUCAGAGAAAGCAAAGUGGGAAGCUCCUCUUGGCAUCUAAGCGUCAAGUUGUGGAGCGGCUGUUCGAGUGCAUGAGCCACAAGUACUAUCUCAUCUACCGGCGAGCGGCGAUUUCUCUAGCGGCCGAGAUCUGCGAAGAUGAAAACGCCUUCUUAGCUGUGGCACACCUCGUCCAGGCCAGUGGUGAAGGCGUCUCGCUUCUGGUGAAAGCGCUGGAGCCGGAUACCAACAAGUCGGUGCUGGAGCUGCUAGGAAAGGUUGCGGCAUUUGGAGGGAUUGCCAAUGCCGAGCCGGGUGUGAUCGCGAACUUUGAUUUUGCUCGAGGGGAUACGCACAAGGAGUGGAAGGAUUCCCUGCGCUAUACCUUCAAUGGCGAUGGAGAUGAUCCAGCCAGGGUCGAUGUAGAGCCAGAGAUCCAGAUCUCCAGGCAGAAGAUCGCAGCGAAUUUGAGGACGCUACUCAGGAAGAAUCACGACUUGACAAGGUACCUCGCGAAUGCUCUCUUUUGUUCCUCCCAGGAGCUCCAGGAGCUAGCUCUAGACGCUCAUGGUGAUCUUCUCCCUGGCUACAAGAGCGUCAUCUAUGGAUUGUUCCACCUCCUCCGUACCUGCCAAGCUGAUCCACUAGGAAGCAAAGUGGCAGUAGUGCUGGAUCUUCUCUGCUGCAAGAAUCGCCAGUACCUGGAAACGCUACUCGAUGGAAGCGGCAGUAGCAGUGACGAUGUUAUAGCAGUUCUCAUGAGCGCGCUCUCCUUUGGUUUGGAUAAUCACGAUGGCGAGAGGAGCAAGCAUGCAAUGUCGAUUCUGUGCAGCCUCCACGACCAGAAGCUGUUGAGCAUGGAGCAGGAGAAAGCGCUGGACAUCGCAAAGAUCGUGGACAUGGUGACCACUAUGACGAGCUCAAGACCAAGUGACCAUGGCUUGACUGGGGAGAGCUCGACCACCCAACCCAUGGAAGGGAUCGAUCUGGCAUUAGAAGUAGCCGAGCUUUGAGGUUUAGCUGCGCGGCCAUCACAAUCCUCAUCAGCUGUUCCGACGGCAUCACGGAUUCACAAUCAACCAAGGUAGGAUUUGGCAGAUGAUCUCUUGGAGAAGAGCACGCCAGCGCUGCAUUGGCAAGACCCCCCAAAUUCCCCACAGAGGGAAACUAAACAGAUCAGGAUUCCAGAGAUGCCGCAACACAGCAUUUCAUUCUAAAUCUUGCUAAUUCAAAACCAAUAUAUUCCCAAUUGUUUGAAUCUUUGGCACGACUACAACUCCAGUCAAACACACAAGUCUAAGAGAAACGUCAAUGCAGAUUUAGAAAAUUCUCUCAUUCGGAUUCUCUUUUCUGAUUGCCACGCCACUGACUAUUCCUGCUCGAACUGGAGCUUUUCUGUUGACGUACUAAAGAUCCCGCUCUACGCGGGAAUGGCGCAAGCAAGGAGGACGGAUCCCGGAACUCGGAGUUUGAAUAGUCGCAGGACGAUCAUCUUCCUCUGUCUGCCAGGAAGAAAGGUGAUCAAUGUACCUGAAAGAUUUUCUAGCAAAUCGUUUUGUGUUUGCUUGAAGUUUUCCAUUGACAGUCAGGCCCCAGAAAAGUUGAAGAAUGUACCGCUGUGAAAGUUAUGGAUGGAUUCAGCAGGUACGCAUGGGUCUGUUCCUCUUGGCUCAACGGCCACUAGCCGUUCCAGAGCGUCUUUGGCUUAUCAUUACAUUGCCAGCAAUGAGCUUUUUCUAAUCUAUCAUUCUCUCUGGCUGUUACUUCACGAAGAUGUUGCAGGCUUGCGCUUGUGGCAGCGAUGCUCGGUAAGCUUUCAUCUUUCGAGGCGUCGAGUAUUGUAUUCCAGGCAUGUCCUCAAAGACGUUGUCGAGAUGCCCGUUCUGGCAUACGCGGAGAGCAUCACCGCCUGCAAAGUGGCAUCCGGGGCCGAGUUGAAAGUUUCCAUGACUUCGAGCAUAUCUCCAUUUGCCGCCAAGCCAAGCCAGGACAUUCCAGCUGGGAAUUCUUCGAAACAAAGCUCUUGCUUGAUCGCCAUCUUCUGGACGUUCGCUUCCAUCAGAGCCGUCCAUGACACCUUUUGCGGCAUGGAUAAAGAAGGCCUUGGGCCGGUCAACGCAACCGCUGCCGGCGAUCACGGUCAACCCCAACUCCGGCAUUCUGCCAGUCAAGGUCAGCAACUGGUCCACGUGCACGUUUGUCGCGACCAUGGAAUUCCACGUUGACUCGGUCCCUUCGUGGCAUUUCGCCAAAGACCUUGGAAGCGUCCGCUAAGAAGCCGCGUUGACUGUAAGAGACGAGAAGGGUGUUCCACGCAGUCAUGUUCCACUGCGGCAUGAGAUGAAAGCAAAUGGCCAGCAUAGGCAUUUGUAAAUUCCUUUUGAGAACGGGAGAACUAGGGUUUUUCCUUUUUUCUUUUUGUACACUCUAAAAGGGCAAUGAAAUACACCUUUCUAGAUUGGCACGACAUAAUCUUGUUAGAUUGGUCUCAAGUGUUGAGCAACUCUCCUGUGUCUGCUAUAAUCUGAAACGAUGUGUUACAAGGUAUGGGUACGUUUCGGGCUUCAAACAACUAGGUGGGAUGGCUUAGGGAUCAGAUCAGCUCCACUGCAUGUUUCCGAAAUGUAACGAACUGCCCUGGGACGUUGAGGGGGAGGGCAUGGCUUUCUUGGACUGGCGUCAUCUAAAGUUCACACUCGUCAACCAUUGCCAGACAACUCCGCUGUGGGAUCAGUCCUUCCACAGAGCCCUCGUCGUCGUCUUCAACCACAAUUCAUCAUGGUCAGGUUCGUGAGUCUCCUAGCUUGAUUGAACUAGAUCUGUAUUGGCAAGCGUCCAUAACAAAGGUUAUUAGAUAGUAUGAAGGCAUGAGGUUGGGGAAGUAUCAGCAAGGUGCUAAGAAAACGCUCUCAACACUUGAUGGCACCAUGCUUAACCUGUCCUUCGAUCAAAGACACCUGACCCUAGUAAGUCUCAUGCUAAGUUCGUGGAAGGAUAUGCUAGUAGAUGAAUAAAUUUCAUUGAUUGAUUUGUUCAAUGAAGGAGAAGAAGAAGUUGUUUCACCUGUAUCAGAUGUGCUCAUAGCAAAGAGAACACAACGGUUGAAUGACAACAAAUAGUUUCAACAGUUGCAGCCAUCAAGAAAAGUUGCAGUGCAGUUGCAGGUUCCAACUAUGACAUCAGUAACAGGAGUCAGUCCGGAACCAGUACAAUCCCACUGAUUGCUUUACUUCACCGAAACACACUAACGGCCUGGUUGUUGUCUCAAACACAACAGUUGCACUGUUCUUGGUGAAGAGAGGUAGAGAUUGGCUAGAGUCUAGAUCAUGUAUAUAGUCCUACUGCUCAAGCGUGGUGAUGGCAUCUCAAAUUAGGGCAGCUGGCAGUGGACAACAACCAACUCAUGGCCAACACUCUUUUGUAUAUAAUUUUUGCUCAGUUACAUAUUUAUAUAAUUUGCUAUUUGUCUAUUGAUGUUUGGCUGAUGUGGCUCUCAGCCUAGAUCACUGAUGUGGUGUUCGUGUCUUUUCCCACACUCCCCUCAAGGAAAGCAUCAUUAACUAGUCAACACUGCUUCUGGAAGAUGAUGAGAGGAAGAGGUUUUGUUAGGAUGUCAGCCACCAUUGAGACUAUUAAGAAGAAUUCCAGAAGUGCUUAGACAAAGCUAUAGCAGACAUAUUGUCACACCACAGUUUGAUAGAUUUUGUCGUCACUCUCAAGUCCUGAAGGACUAUUUGGAGCCAAAUAGCCUCCUUCGCAGCAGCAGCAGCAAACACAUACUCUGCCUUUGUCCUGGACAUGGCUUUGAGAGAUUGUCUUUUGCUACACCAGCUAAUCAUGUUGCCAGGAGGAAAAUGUAACCAGAUGUAGGGCACUGGUCAUCACUGUUUCCUCCCCAAUUCGCAUCAGUAAACUCAACCAGUUUCGAGCUUGUCGAGCUCUUGCCUUUGCAAGGUUAUAUUUCUAGUUCUAGAAACAUACCACAUGAUCCAUUUAGUCACUGCCCAAUGAGUUAUGGUCCAGGUACUUUGCCACACAGCCCAUUGAAUAGGCAGGGUCUGGUUUUCUUGACCAGAUAGCUGAUUAUGGAUUGAUAAAGCCUCUCAUUCUCCUCCUUGGGAAUUGGAUUAGCAGAAGUAGCUUUGGAGAGCUUGGAACCAGCCUCCGUUGGUGUAGCAACGAGCAUGAAUCAUAGAGUACCUCUUGAGGAUAUUUGUGAUAUACUUAGCCAGAGAAAGUUCCAGAAUCCCUCAUUGCCUGUUCUGGUGAACCAAGAUGCCUAAGCUCAAAUUGUGAGAAACAUGAUUGCUUGAUCUGGUUGAGAAGACAAAGUUGGUUAGAGGCCAAGUAUGCUAUCAUCUAUAUAGAGCAAGUGGAAGCCUCGACUUUGUCUAAAGAUGUAGAGAUUAGUGUUUGUUGUACUGCGCAUAUAACCAAGAGAAAUGUUGUACCACAUUCUCCGUGAUUGUUUAAGGCCGUAGAAACAAGGUGCUCUUCAUCAACAUGCACAACGCCAAGAGGUUGAGCUAUGUAGACCUGAGCUCAUUGUUCAGAAAAACUAUACACAAGUCUAACUGAUGAGGGUUAAAAGCAAAUUAAUCAUUGUGAGCUUUACAGGCUGUAAGUUGCAGAGUAAUCCAACCCUAGAACUUGAGAAUUUGCAAGCUACAAAGUGAGCUUUGACCGUGCCAUCAGCUUUGUACUUGUGUUUAAACAGCCACUUGGCUAAUACAAGAUUGCAACCUAAGUUUGGUUGGCACACUCUGUUAAGCAACAGAGUACUGGUGGAGAAUGCCAACUUCCUGAAGAAACUAAUGGAAUUCAUUGGAAACAAAUUCCCCUCCACCAUCUGUCAUCUUAUAAGCUUUGAAGUGUACAAACAGUUCAGUAUCAUUAAUAAAAGAUACGAAGUACCUUUUAUGGCUCAAGGAAAUAGUAGACUAUCCUUGAAGCACCAUCGUCUUGGGAUCAUAGAGGGAAGGGAGUUGUGGCUGCUUCCCUAUUGGCAUGCUCCACAAAUCCCGAGCUGCCUAGAGGGAAGUGUGAAGCCUUCAACCAAAUUGCAAUGAGCAAUGAGGUGGAUGUGCCCAAGACGAGGUGCCAAUGGCAAAUAGGAGAUGGGUCAUAAUAGGCAAGCAGCUGCCUCUUGGAUUCUGAGGGAAAUAGUAAUUUUGUAUUAAGAUGGUAGAGAGUAUCAUACAUCAGCCACUAUCACCAUCUGGUCCAAAGAUAGUACAGCCAGUAGUGCAGAAGAACGUGGAGAAGCCUUUGGUUAGAUGCUACACUAACUGAAAGAACUGUUUGAUCCCUGGAAUAUAGAACAUCCUCUUGAGAUGUUUGUGUGAGCUAUUAGGAAGUUUGAUGACCACCAUUCCAUGCCCAGUGAUUGUGAGUGCUCUCAUGUCUCCCACGUACACCUGUUUCAAGGUCUCCAACUCAAUGUAAGUAUGGAAGGCAGAUCUGAGAAGUGUGAUAUGCAUUGAAGCCCCAGAAUCCAUCCGAAGGGUUUCAGCUUCUGAUCCCUGAGAUGAGCAAACGUCAUCAUGAGAAGGGUGUCAGGUUGAGAAUAAUAGCAUGGGUUCUUUUCAGCAGCUUUCUUGAGGUCGGACUCCUGCUCCACAUGUUCUAUCUUGCCAUAGUAGGCCUUUGCAUUUCUUGAUAGUGUUGAUGCCAGAUUGGGAAGAAGAGUCGUUGGACUUCUGCAUGAAAGCCCCUUUCUUCUUGUCUCCAGAAGGUUUGCUACCGAUAUACGAGGCCUGCUCAUGAAGAGCAUCCCGAGAGGCCUUAUUGUGUUCCUCAUCUUGCACUCUUCUUCCAAGACUAAAGAGUCUCAAGCAUUUGAUCUGGAAUGAACAAGAGCAUAGACGAGAACUACUGUAACUCUGGGUAAUAGAGCAAAGGAUGAGCACCUUGGUUGAGACCGGAGACCCAGCCUCUUUGAGUUUAGCCAUGAGUCCACGAAGCUUGCUGAUGUAGGGCGAUUGGCUCGUAUUCAACUUGAUACUAACUUCAUAACAUGUCGGUUAAAUAUUGUGUCUCUUGACGUUUGCCUGAUGUGGCUCUCAACCUGGAUCGCUGACAUGGCGUUCUUGUGUUUUCCCACAUUUUGGACGGCAGCGUCUACAAUGUCUUUAGCUGCGCUUCUAAUCCUGGCUUUAUAAUUCUUUAGGUAAUACUCUUUGGAUUCAAUCCUAGAAUGAGGUGCCAGCCACUAGUGCAUCCAUCUAAACAAUGAAGGUGGUUUUCAUUUGGGGCAGUGUGUGCAUAAGAGCUGCCUCCCUUCUUGGAGACGCACACAAUGACGAUUUAAAUUGCAAGAAUUAUAACACAUAUCUCAUGGUAGGAGUUUGGAAGUGACUUAUGCACAUUAUAACUACACACGCCCACUCAAAUCUGGACUCUAAACUUGAUCUUGGUAAACUUGGUUGCUCAAAAAAAGAAAAAAACGUGCCUAAAAGAAUAAUCCAUGGAGUUGAUAGUGCUCAUGGCUCACAUGGCACAUCCAUCUCCACAAUCUAUGGUGCGAGUUCCAGUCUGGCCCAUGACUCUGAUCUUCUUCUUGCCUCCGGGAAAUACACAGCUUAAGCUAUGCUGUGCAACACCAGCUAUGAGUUGAAAUUAUAACGGACCUUUGUUGCUAAGUCCUAAAGCCAUUAUAGAAGUUAAGAAUUUCUGGCUUCCCCAGCUCAACGUUUCCUGAAGGCUUGGUGCAAGGUAACGAGCUAAAAAGUAUACGUAAACAGUUUCCUUUAUCUAUGCUUAAAUUUUUUUACAAAUAAUGUUCUCAAGUGAGUGAAUAGUAAUGAGGCCUACCUUGUUGUCCACGUGAAUUCUUGAAGAAAUAGACAAGAUCUCUAGCUCAUUCGAGGGAGAUAUCCUCUUUGGCUUGUGCAUGCCCCAUCAUGCACUUUCGUAUGAGAAAUCAAUCUCACUUUGAUCUUGUCAAACUAUGAAGAAACACCGGCUGCCAAACUCGGGUUGAACAUCCACCUGGUAUGAAACGAAAAAGAAUGCAAAAACUUGGGAGAAAAAUAGAGCAUAUGCUUUCAAAGCUUGAUGUAAGUAAUACCACAUCCAACCUUGAUUUCACACUCCCGAUGGUAUUGUGUCGCUUCCUCUAGCAAGAUGAGUUUGUCUUCAUUUCCUAGACUCUCACCAAUGUUGUAUCUUAGACACAUUGAGAAAAACAAGAGUUUUAGAACGAAACUAUUCUUUUUUCCGCUGACCUCAAGUGUAGGAUGUGUUAAAUCGUGAACACCAAAUGCUCAAACAUGUCAAACUCAAUGUCCUCUUUGCUCUUGUCUUCGUCUGGAUCUGGCAGCUGGAAAGACAAAAAUCCAUUUACCUCCCUGGCAAUAGCCACAAGCCAUUCCCUUUUAGGGGUAGGAUAGGUGUAGUGCACUGUAGGAUAAAUUUUAGGUACAUGCAAAGGAAUUUUUUAUUUUAAAAUAAAGUAGAUUUAUCAAUAGUAGCAUCUAAAUUGAUGUGGCUGAUUAUAUCCAAGAAACAAGGUGGGUUAUCUUUCAGGCAUCAUUAUGCACCUUUUAAAUUAGAAAUUCAAAAUGAUCUUUGUGAAGUGAUCCUAAGAGAAUGGCUUUGAAAAUGGAAAAGUUGUAAAUAUUACAUUCUCUCAAGAAAGUAAGUGGGUAGUAAAUGGCAAUAGGGUUUUGAUUAGAGAUUUUAAUGUGGCAUAUGUUCAAGUUGAGUUAAAUCAAUAACAAAGCUUCAUUGAUAAUGUAAUUGAAGUGACACAAGUUUGCUUUAUUCAUGUUUUUGUUCACAUUAUAUAACAUUCACACUUGUUAUUUUUACAUUAGCAGGUUGCUGAUUGUAUUUGGAAUCUAAUACAUGGAGUGGAACAAGAAUUUCAAAGGUGGGGUAAAAUUAGAUAUCUUAAAGAAUUUGAUCUCAUCUCACUUGAAGAUUGAGGGAUAUAAACUUGCUAUAAAAACCACUUUUUUAGUUGGUAGUGACUUAAGUUCCUCCUUGGUUUCAUCAGCCUCUAUGAACUAAUAACUCAUGGAUAAAACAAUGGAGAAAGUUGCUAAGACUUGCAAAGAGUUAAGCUACAAAUUUAUUCUUUAGCCAAAUUGUUAAUUUCAGCAAUUUAGAGAGCAUAAAAAUUCAUUGCACAAUGUGCAACUAUAUGGUUUAACUCUUUCUAUAAUGGGGUAAAUACUUUAUCAUUGUGUUCAUUUCAAAUUUAAUUCAUUCUUUAGGCUCUUAUACUCACAACAUAAAGCAACAUUUUGUCUUCAAAUGUUAUGUCAAAACAAUCAUGCAAAGCACUAUAGAUCGCAAAGCAAAGUGAAAAAUUAAUAAUCUGGAUGUUGAUGGCCGCCCCUGCAAGUUUCUUGUUACUGAUCCACAACAGCCAAGUAUCACUAAAUUCUUUCCAACAACAAGUAAAUUUACUUCUUUGAUUAGUUUUUUAAAAUAUAGCAAUACAAAAUGGAGUAGGGACAUUCUCAAGUAGUAAGUGAUGAGAAUGUUAUAAAAUCAUGUUAUAAUUUGAAUAUCUUUUAUUUGUGUUGAAAUGGUGUCAUAAUUAUUAGGGAUAUCAUUUUCCAACAUAUAUGUAUCACAAAAAGCCAUUUUUAUAAGAUAAACCAGGAUUGGUUCGCUAAGUUGGAAACUCGACAAAUUAUGAUUUAUCUUGGAAUAAAAGUUAAUAUUGAAAGUACUUUUCGUCAUAAAUCAUGCCUUUGAGUUGAUUAUGAAGGUUUUUCAAAUCUAAUAUGCCUGAAGUGUGCUUUAGUUCCUAUGGAAAAUGGCUUUAGAAUGCAAGUUGCUCACUAAAUCAAGUUAAAUGAUAGAGGUGGUGUUGCUAGAGGUUCAAGAGUGGUUGCAUAUGCUAAUUAUCGACUGUAUACUUUAUCAUCAAAAAAGCUUUUUGCUAAUGCACGAUCAAAGCAUCAAUUUAUAGAUAGCUUGAGACUCAAGUUAUGAAGCAACACCAGAGAAUAACUGUCUUGUCAAUGAAAGUUCAAGGUCUUAGUGAGCAUUGUUUAGAGGAUUUAACUCGCAUGGAUACUAGAAAAUUUUGCAAGGACAUUUGUGAUGCAACAAGGCAUGGCAAAUUUGAAAGGAAGACAGGGUUUUAGAAUUUUCUCAUGGAUAUAUCUAGAAACUUGUCUUGGGUAACAAGUGGACAAUGAUAGAAUACAAGCUCGAAGUAGAUUUUUGAGGCUAAUUGAAUCCAUAAAAGAGCACGAAUGUAUGAUUUUAUAUCCUUAAACUUUGUUGGGCCAAGUACUUUUAUGACUAGAUGAGAUAUGAGAAUGAUGCUUCACUACAAUGUUGGAGUGUAGGUAUUUUUCUAUAGUUUUUUGAAAUUUUUAUACACAAACUAAGCAUUGAGUUUAUAAUUUUACAUAUUAGAAAUUUUUUGUUAAAGUAAGGGUAAGAGAGGAAGGAUACAAUAACAUUACAGUAGUUUUUGACAAUUUCCAACAAGUUCAUUAUGGUUGUGUGCCUAUGAUGAACCCGCUAUGCUACAAUCUGCUAAAGUUAGUUUUUGUUAUCCAACUUACUUGCAAUAGGUAUUUAGAAAUCUUAGUUGUGAUUAUAAUAACUUUAAUUUUACGGGUUUGAUAACAUGGAUAUUUAGCAUCAAUGGGAGUGAGUACACGAUGCUUGGGACAAAAGUUUGCGGCAAGUUCUCGGCCCGAUAAUUGGCCAUGCAUCUGAUAGUGAUUCAAGGCAUCAAAAAUUAAUGCUACAAGACUACACAACUAAAGAUGGUGGUUGUUUUAAAAUUGAUUGGGAUGGCUGUGUUUACAACAUUACAGAAAGAGGAUGGAUCUAUUUAUGGACUACAUGAUCAAGACUUUAUCCACAAUGGCAAAAAAACUUGUCAAUCCACUAGAUUCUUCAAGAAAUCUUAUCCUUGGGAAGUUAUUAACAACACUAAAUCAUGUUAAAGAGGUCUUUGUUGCUCUUCCAAGACAUGAACAUAGCUUGAAUUAAGAUGAUGUGGAUAGGAAGGACUAUCAAAAUUGAGCUGCUGCAUAGAGACUAGCAUUUAAGAAAGUUCAAGCUUGCAUAUGCAUGCUACGGGGUGGUGGAUCCCAACCAAGUGAACUUAGUGAAGGAAUUAAAGUGUACUUAAGUAUUGUGGCAGAUUACAUUGACAUUUUCUUGUCUCUAACUAGAAGGCUGUAUCAAAGUUGCUACAAAAACAUCUUUCUUCUUCAAGUUUGCUUUGUUUAUACUUAGAGAUUAAUUUCAGUUCUUUUUUGUGUAUAGGCUGUGAUGACUUUAGAUAUUGCAAGACAAAGCUUAGAACAACUUCAUUUCAAAUGAGAUUUUUUUGGAUAUUCAAAUUAGUUGCCACUACAAUGUUCUUCUUAUCAAGUUAUUCAUAGAUAAAUAUUGAAAACACCACAUUCCUCUAGAUGAGACAGAAUCAAACUGUUGUGAGUCAUUUUUCAACAAGAUUGAUGGUAUGGUGAGAAACUAGUGAACUUAUGACUCAUUUGAUUUGUUGGAUAGUGCUGGUUCUAUAAACCAAAUUGUUGAGAUAAAGGUUACAUCAAUUUUAAAGUUUCCAGCUUCACAUGAGAAACAAAAAUCUAUAUGGGAAUAUUUAACAAAGACUUGAGAAGUAACAAGGAGGAAUAGUUGCAUUGAAGCUGACUGAUUAUAUAGGUAUGUCUUUGUUAAAUAUUUUUUAAUCUUACUCUCUUUAUCAAGUAUAGAAAUAGAUUUGAAAAUUAUGCAAGCUCUUCAAGCCGGCUUGCUUGAGGCAAAAGGUUUACUCUGUUUUUUAAGUAUAUCUCUACCAGAUUCCAAGUGGAGCAAACCUUGGAAAUAUGAAGAUUUUUUUCACAAAAAGGUAGCAAAAGCGCUAGAAGCUGUGAAUGGAACAGAUGAUAAGGGAGAUGUUCUAGAAGAGGUGGAAAGCAAUAUCACUUAUGAUGAUGAAGAGCUAGCAGCAUCAUUGGAAUUACAGCAUACUUUUGAUAGUAUGAUUGAUGAAGAGGCACUGCCUCAACCACAAAUGCCACAGCAGGAAAAGUUCAAGCUGUUUGUGGAUUGAUGGUGGAUACGAUCUUAAAUUUUUCUGUCCUCAGGUUGCUCUGUUGCCAAAAGCUGAAAACUCUCUAGCCGAGGUUGUGAGGGUCGGUAUUCAUAGCAAUGCCGUUUAUGGCAAGUUGGAAGAUUUCUGGACUUCUUGCGAUGCACGCAAUGCUGGAAACUGCAGGUAUGUGUCGAGACAAAGUUUGUCAAGGCCAACGGUGUCCAUUCCAGGCGGAUUUUCAUGGAGACAUUCAAGACAAUGUAUGGCUUAAACAAAGACCAACUGGAGCUUCCAACGAUGUCAUCUGGUGUCUGGUCUAGCAAGCAUUGCUGGGCUAUGUCUACCUCAUCUUUUGUGGAGUUCGUCAUGUUUUCCUGGUCUAUUGCAGUUUGUGGCACAUACUCCAACGAAAUAUCUUCUUAACUGGUUAUCUUGUCCUAGGAUGUUCGUGGACGCUCUCGAUUCUCAGCUCGACGUUGAAUAUCACGAUCAUGGAAACUGUCCUCUUGCAACCACUCAACUGGAGGUAUGGUACAACCUCGAAUUCUUGUGGCUGUGAGUUCUAAAUACUAAAUAUCUUAGGCUCAACACUGCUACUGCCGUUUACUUGAGGUCCUGGUGAACGUUUGGGCGUAUCACAGUGCCAGGAGACUCAUCUACGUGGAUUCUGAGACGGGUAUAAUGAUGGAGCAGAACGCUCUCGAGAGCCGACGCGGGCAUGAAAGUCAAGUGGUUCAGCUUUAACGUGCUCAAGGGAAUGGACGAAGACAUGGCCGAGAAAGUUGACGACGAGCAUCCUACGUACCGGUGGCUCUGGCCACACACGGGAGAAGUGUUCUGG
rnacentral:lncRNA from 1 species